UCGGUGCCAGCGUCACCAUGAGGAGGAGGAGGGCGUGGAACAGAUAUGCACUGGAGCCACUGUCUGCUGUGGUGCCCCAUUUCAAAACAUCCACUGCAGGAGUGGUUCUGGAGGUGGUGAAGUUUGGUGGAGUAGCAAAAAGUAACAGAACUUACGACAUUUUGAAGGUUUCUGAUGGUUCCAUUGCCAAGUGAGGCCAAAAACAGAACCACAUCCUUGUCAAAGUGUCUCAUAAUGAUGGACGUGAUUGGCCCGACGGUGGAACGCCAGAGGUGGGCCGGGUUGUGGCCUUCAAGGAUAUGAAGGGUGUUGACUUGAUGGGGUGUGUUGGUGCUGCAGGGUGUUGACUUCAUGGGGUGUGUUGAGGGUGCUGUGUUCUCAACAAGGAUGGUUUGCAAAUGUGUUGGAGAGGAGGGCAGCACCCUGGUCUGGCACAGUGCUUCUGUCAAUGGACACCUCACCAUUGCAAUGUGGAGGAGGUGGCCGAGGCACUCUUUGCUUGGUGGGCCAGUGACAGUUGCACCUUUGAGUUCAGCCAACACCUGGCCUACCUGUACUCUCUGGCUUCCCUGGGGCAGUUUGGUGCAGAAAGUGAUGAUGUGGCCGCAGCACCGACUCUGCUGGAUCUGCCUGUGCUGAACAUUGCACACCUGGAUGGGAAAGAACCCUGUAUUCUCUAUUGCCAGGUGUGUGUGUGUGUGUGUGUGUGUGUGUGUGUGUGUGUGU